GAACAUGAUCAGUCUAAAGCAAGGCAGCCAUGGUAUGUCAGAGAUGCCAACCCCCCCCCCAACUUAUCAGAAUCAUGAUGACCCGAAAAAUGAUGACCCGAUUGCGCCAAAUUCAUUCUGAUUUUUUUCAAAAUAUAACAAAGAUAUAGAUAGCCUUACUUACUGGAGGGCUAGGAUCAUCUUUGACUAUGAAUAAUGAUAAUUAAAUAAAUAUAACACUUUCUCAAAUGGUUUAAAUAGAAAUUAAUCUGGAAGUUGAGUAGGCUGCCUGAUAAAUUCAACACACUGUUUAUUUCAUUCAUUAACAUUCACAAACACUGCUGCCGAGUACUGCAAACCAGUUUCAUUUUUUCUGUUUUAGGCCAGACCAAUUUUAUUUCUUGUUUUACAGAAACUAAAGGCAGGCGGGAAAAACAUUGUAAAUAUUAAAAGUACUUUACUUCUGGCAAUUUAUGCAGUGUAUAUGGGGCAAUAAACAAUCAAAAAACAAAAUCCUGUAAGUUUACAUUUUUGCCCAAUAAAAACAUAAGGAUUUUAUUUUUUGAGCGGAGAAUUUUUUUUCUAAUUAUUAUUCUUGAAAAAAUACGACCAGCGGAUCCGUAAAACAAGAAAUAAAAUUGGUCUGGCCUUAGGGAGCUCAGAUUCCUAAUUCCACCAGUUUGGGGUUGGCAUCUGUGUUAUAUCAUUCAGCUGUAUGCAAUGCUCAGUCUGCAGCAUCGGUCUAGAUGUAUGAAUACAAUGUGUUGUGUCACAACAUCAACAUUUCAUAUAUCCAUGUUAUUUUGGUAAAGAGGUGGUCAGGAAGCUAAGAGGUUGAAGCAUCGUCAGGCCGCAGACCCACAUCUGAUUCCCUGCAUGUGUACAAUAUGUGAAGAGCUACAGUGAUUCUAAUUCUGAUUUCUUUGUUUUGGGUGGGAAGGGAGAACAAUAAUACAUUUCAUUUAUCUUUA